rnacentral:tRNA from 1 species
CCUGGGGAAGGGCCAUAGCUCAGUGGCAGAGCAUCUGCUUUGCAUGCAGAAGGUCACAAGUUCAAUCCCAGGCAUCUCCAGGU